CUAAAAAUUAUACUGAGGUGGGUAUCUCAGCUCAAAAAAGACAAAUGUAAGCAUGUUCUGUCUCUUAUGCAGAUUCUGGCCCCUGAUAUUAUAUUUUGUGCAUCUCAGAGCAGAAGUGGAAGUCAGGCAACUAGGAAACACCAUGGGGAGAAGACACAUUAAGUUAAAUAUUAGAGUCUGGUAUGUUAAAGUAGUCUUUAAUGAGGAGGAACUAAAGAUGAAUAUAAUGCAGUCCUGUUUUCUAUGGAGGAGAUUAUCAUCUCAUUAUGAGGGAGAAGAAUACAAGCCACAAUCCUUCGUCUCUACUCUUCCUAUGCUACAAAUAUUCAAAGAGAAGACUGAACGUUAAAGAGAUGAAAUGAAAAGUUGCUGUGGAUAAUUGCAGGCAUGUGAAAAUAAUCAGCUUGCUAGCAGUGAUAAAAGAGCAAUACACACAUCUAUCUUUUCUGAUGAAGUCAAUGUAUUAAAAAUGUUGUUAAGCUGUGGCAUCAAAUUAUGAUCACCUGCAUUCUACAUCAUGGGCAGAGGCUUUGUAAGGUACCUACUGAAAAAUCUCAGUGAAACUCAGCUCCCAACUAUCCUGUUA
rnacentral:lncRNA from 1 species